UAUGUAUUUAAGUUAAAGAAAUUUAAUCAAGUAGAAAAAUUUAGUCAAUUUAAGAUCCUUUUUUUUCUUAGUGCAGCAAUAUUUUCAACGCUUCAACAAUAUUGCUAUAAUGUUCUGUGCUGUAUGGAAUAAUAGUACAAUACAUAAUUAUAAUUACACAUUUUGUAUUCACAAAUUGUUGUAAAUAUAUAAAUAUAAUUACACUAUAACUGAAGAUAUUUAAAAAAUUAUACAAAAUCUCAUAUAAAAGAUAUCUCGCUAUGUUCUGAGGUAUUUUCUAUUUUUUCGAGAACGAAAAGUUUUAGCAACCUAAAAGACACUGAGAGAAAAAAUAUCUUAAAGCAAAAAAUUUUACUUAAGAGCAAAAAAUUAUUUACUCGGUGGGUCCCAAUAGCUCAUUUACCUGCAGUCAAGUUAAAAAUUUUUUAAUUGAUAUAUUUAUAGGUUUAAGAAAAUAUAUUUUUUCAUUAAAAAAUUUUUUUUCUCUCAGUGUAUCUUUUAUGUAACAUGAGAUAGCUGGAGAUAACUUGAAGAUAUCUUUUAAAAACCAAAAAGAAAUCUUGCGUGACAAAUAUUAAAAAUUUUAAAAACAUCUCAUAAAUAUCUCCUAUGAAAAAUGUUUAUAUAAACGUGUAUCCUAUGUAAUCUUAUUUCAGAGUUAUAGUCAUUUUUGUUCUUCAGUAAUGUGUAGCUGCUUAUCCUUCUCCUGGGAGGUAUUCAAAAUGAUUACUUCCGGUCCGUAUUUGUAAACAAUGUUUGAUAUUUUCUGGAUAUUUCCUACCUCGAUUUCGCACGUUCUAUUCAUUGAGCUUACUCAUUUCAGUUCGUUCUCUUGCUAGAGCGGUGUAGAGGUUUAUUAUUACUCUUGCAAAAAAACAGUAAUAAUAAUUACAGGAACGCCCAUGAGAUACAGGUUCGUUUAAAAGGCGAGUGGCUGAUGGUAGUAAACCAGUUAGUAUCAGAAUUGCUAAUCUUGAAGAACGGAUCUUGAAGAAAAUGAUGGCAACAGUACGUGAAGAAUAACAGCAAUACUGGAGAACAAAAAUGAUUAUAACUCUGAAACAAGAUCAAAUACAUGUUUACACGAA